UACGGAGGGUGCAAGCGUUAUCCGGAUUUACUGGGUUUAAAGGGUGCGUAGGUGGAUAAUUAAGUCAGUGGUGAAAUCUUCAGGCUUAACCUGGAAACUGCCAUUGAUACUAUUUGUCUUGAAUACUUUGGAGGUAAGCGGAAUAUGUCAUGUAGCGGUGAAAUGCUUAGAUAUGACAUAGAACACCAAUUGCGAAGGCAGCUUACUACACAGUAAUUGACACUGAGGCACGAAAGCGUGGGGAUCAAACAGGA
rnacentral:rRNA from 1 species